rnacentral:misc_RNA from 1 species
UAUGUGGAGGGGUGCCGUCCC